UCCGCUUGCUUACAAUCCAUGCCCCCCUUAUAGUAGAUGGAUCCUAUUUUAUAUACAAUAAAAAAUACGUAGUGAAAAGCCCAUGAUGUACUGUCUUUUCCUCGAUUUCUGCCAAGAUUCUCUCCUAUAGUGCGGUUGCAACGGCCUUUGUCUGCGAGCUCGAUACUGGCUCGAGCUCGGUAUUGGAUCGAGCCCUCGGCCUUGGUCCGAGCUCGAUUCUGACUUGGGGUCUCGGUAUUCGGGGUGAGUGUUGGUCGGUCUAUGCAUCUUCGAUAAUCUCAGCUUUGCUUCGUAGUUCGAUUUGGAUAUGAGCUCGAUAAUGAUACCGAGCUUGUCAUUGAUCGGUCUUAGAGCUUGAAGCUCGACGCCCUUACUUCGGACCUUGACCGAACUUGUCAUGCAAAUAUCCUUUGAUCGAAACAUUAUCGUCUCGAUCAAUUUGUACGACUGAAUCAAAUCGAUUUUGACCGAACACAGAACUAAUCGUAAAGGUUUCAAUAUUGAAAAAGAAAGCCUUCGCAUAUUCAUAAUUACGAGUAAUCCAGAUUCAUUGAUUGAUCGUUUCCCAAUCCCAAAGAAAUAAAAGAAGCAACUGUUUGCUAACAAUUACUCGUAUUAGUUGCUAAUCAAUCAGGAGAAUGUUCACGCGCCAUUUUAUUUGUUUGAACCAAACUUCUCCACUAAAAACUUUUUCUCCAUUCGUUUAAAUCUAUGUGAACCCGUUUAACUGGAUACGAAAUUUAAGAAAAGAAGACUUUUGAACUUGUGGUGUAAAAUGAAACACAUAUAUUUUGUGUGGUUAUAAAUCAUUGCAUAAAGGUAAAUUGUUUCUAAAUAAGAAAAUAGGUCAUUCUUUUUGGCACGGACUAAAAAAGAAAUAAGUUCACAUAAAUUAAAAAAGAGGGAGUAAAAGAUUGUGUCCCUCCUAAUUCUUUUUUUGUUUUCCACAAAAAUUAUGAUCUCAUUCUUAAUAAUUUAUGGGUUUUUGAUGCAGACAUACCACCAUCUUAGUCAAAAGAGAAUUCGAAACUUCUUUUGCUCUCUACUGAGAGCAGAAAAGAUGAGGCAGUGGUGGGGCAGGUUAACCUUAAACCACUUUUUCUUUAUCUUCAUCAAUUCAUCUUCCUCCUCUCUCCGUUUUUUUUGGUUUUCUAUUCUAUUUUUAAUAAAUAUUUGCUUUAUUGAUUUGAUGUCUGAAUUCUAUCUUUUUCCUUCGAGUGCUACAUGAAUGGAUUGUGGAGUGGCUAACUCCAUAAUUUAUGGAGCCAUUAUUCCUCCACAUCUCAUCGGUCAAAAAGAAAAAAGAAGUCCUUUUCUUUUCUUUUUAUUUUUAAUUAUAUUAGUAUAAUAUUUGGACCUUUUAAUGUGUUUGAAAAUAAUGGAUCCUUUCUUUUACAACUGUCAUGGCCCCAUGGUGAUGACACCACGUUCUUCACUUCAAUAAAGUUUUCAAAAUUAUUAUAAAAAGAACAAUUAUUUAUUUCCCUCUAACUGCCACAUCCAAUAAAUCCAAUUAAGUUGAAUUCAUUUUGGAGCUUUUGGUCACCAAAGCUCUUUCUUCUUCACUUGAAUCUGCUCAUAAACGAAAACCACCAGUUGGUACACUUGGCCAGGAAUGUUUUAUCACCAAGCAACUAAAUAUCAUCCUUUGCAAUAAACUAAAGUAAGACAAAAUAGGAGGCUAAAUAUCAUGAUUCUUUCACAGGUUCUUCUAAUUAGGAACAAAGUUUUGGUCCUCUCAAUUUCAAUGGAAGAACAAAGCCGCGAAAGUUGGCUGUCUAGGAAAAAUGUUGGCCUUAAAUUCAGAUUAUCCACAAGAAAUUUAAUAUUGACCAUUAGGAUUAAUGAAUAUGCGUAGUUUCUUAUUUCUUGUGAAGGAUCAUGAGUUGAGAUCCAUAAUAAGCGUCUUCGACUGACUAGUAUUGCCCUAUCAAUUUCGGGCUAAUUUCUAUUGAAAUCCAUGAUAAGGGUGUUCAGUAAGGGAUAUUACGUCAUAGUUUAAUUUCUUUUGAAGUUCACAUCAAAUGAAGCACAAGUUGCACCAUAAGAUGAUUGAAAUACAGGUACUUCAGAAAAUCAAUGCUGAAUUGCUGAUAUAUCCUAAUAUCUAAAAUAAGAUGUUCGCACAUUAUAGGCAAAUGUUGUUUUAAAACUAGUACUUCAUUAUCCAUUUAUCAUGUGAAGUAUGUACUUUUUAGGAUUUUACUUAUCUACACUUACAUUCACAAAUUUCACAUUAUUGUAGCAACCAGCAGGGCGUGUAUGUGGAUGCAGGGGAAUGACCCAAUAAUGUAAAUAUUUUUACAUUGUUAGCUAUAGAAGUUAUAGAACUCUGCCUUUCAUGGCAAUGAUUUAGCAGCUACAUGGAAUAGUUAAUUAUGUAAAUAUAACGAAGAUUUUAUAGACAUAACAAUAAUAUAAUUUGUAUCGAAUUUGUAAAAUGAACUUGGAGAAACAUUUCAGAUAAUCACCUAUAUAUGUGCGGCAUUUAAUAUCCAUCUUAAGGUCACUAGAAAUUCCCCGUUAAUUGCUUUUCAUCCUAUACCUGCAAUACACAAAACAAGAUAGAUACUUAAUUAGCAAAAGAAACAAAAGGAAGAAACGAUAUAUACCAUAGUACAAUAUACAAACAGAGAGAAAAUGAACAGACAAAAUAUAUUAAAGAGGUAAAAAUGAUUACACAUGAUGACUCGAUCACUUCUAGGAUUUGGCAAUGGGAAAAAUGUCUAGAAGAUAAAAGAAAAAACGAAAAAGAGAUUAAACGUCGAACGCAUCAAUCACAUAAAGAGGUGAGGUAAUUAAUCCGCGGUACACAGUACUAUAUAUCAAAAAAUUGGGACUCA
rnacentral:lncRNA from 1 species